CUCAAAUAUUGGAAAGGUUGUCAUAUUGAAAAUGGAACAAGCUUGCUUUCUUUUGCUGCAGAGACUACGGUGUUUCCCUGAAAAUAAAACAGUGUCUUAUAUUAAUUUUUGCUCCCAAAGAUGCGCUAGGUCUUGCUUUCAGGGGAUGUCUUAUUUUUCCAUGAAGAAGAAUUCACAUUUAUUGUUGAACAAAAAACUGAACAUUUAUUAUAUACUGUACAGUAGUUGUCAUCACAAACCAGCAUAACCAGACAAACUGUGAAUCCUAUCAAGAAUUUCUUGUUACUACCAUUAUUUCCAUGUACAACACUCUAUGGUACAUACAUUUACCGAUCCUGCAUGUUCUGGUGUUCUGUUCGUUGGGCAUGCUUCCAAACAAAAACUUUGCUAGGUCUUACUUUCGGGGGAGGCCUUAUAUUUAGCAAUUCAGCAAAACCUCUACUAGGUCUUAUUUUCUGGGAACGUCUUAUUUUAGGGGAAACAGGGUAGGAUGCAACGGAGGACUGGAUUCAAACUCCAGGAACAGAGAUUCCACCUAAGUGUUGUCGAAGGCUUUCAUGGCUGGGAUCACCCAGUUGUGGUAUGUUUUCCGGGCUGUAUGGCCAUGUUCCAGAAGCAUUCUCUCCUGACGUUUCACCCACAUCUAUGGCAGGCAUCCUCAGAGGUUGUGAGGUAUAUGAAGAAACUAAGCAAGGAAGGUUUAUAUAUAUCUGUGGAAAGUCCAGGGUGGGAGAAGAACUCUUGUCCGUUGGAGGCCAGUGUGAAUGUUGUAGUUAAUCACCUUAAUUAGCACUGAAUAGCUUCAUCUCCUGGCUUCUUCCUGCCAGGGGGCAUUUAUUUAUUUAUUUAUUUGUUUAUUUCCAAUAUUUCUACCCUGCCCUUCUCUCUGAGGGGACUCAGGGCGGCUUACACAACUGGUAGGAUCACUACCAGUACAUCAUAAUACAAUAAAAUAAGAAUAAAACAGUUAAAAUAAUUAAAUAACAUAGUAAAAUACAAUAUAUAAAAGAUUUAACACAAUGCAACACCAAAUAUAUAUGCCAAUCAUCCAUCAGACCUUGUGCAAAAGCCUUAAUCCAAUCCAUGUCAAUGCUGACUGAGUUCAUUCAUUAAACGCUUGCGCGCAUAGCCAGGUCUUCAACUUCUGGGGAAUCCUUUGUUCAGAGUCAUUAGCUGCCCCUGAUUGAUUCGUGUCUGGAACUCCUCUGUUUUCAGAGUGUGCUUCUUAUUGACUGUUCUGAUUUUGGAGUUUUUUAAAUACUGGUGGCCAGAUUUUGUUCAUUUUCAUGGUUUCCUCCUUUCUGUUGAAGUUGUCCACAUGCUUGUGGAUUUCAGUGGCUUCUCUGUGUAGUCUGACAUGAUAGUUGUUGGAGGGGUUGAGCAUUUAUGUGUUCUCAAAUAAUAUACUGUGUCCAGGGGCAGCUAACGACUCUGAACAAAGGAUUCCCCAGGCCAGGACGUGAAGCUUGCAAGGCCAUUUAAUGCUAAUCAAGGUGAUUAAUUACAACAUUCACAUAGGCCUCCAACAGAGAAAGAGUUCUUCUCCCACCCAGGAUAUAUAAACCCAUUCACCUAGUUUCCAACAGACCUCAUAACCUCAGAGGAUGCCUGCCAUAGAUGUGGGCGAAACGUCAGGAGAGAAUGCUUCUGGAACAUGGCCAUACAGCCCGAAAAACACAUAACAACCCACAAAUGGAAAAAAUUUCCAACAUAUUUGUACAAAAGGUUUAAGAAUUUGAAAGCUGUCAGCCAGGCAAUUCAUACUGGAAUAACCCACCCAUAAUCUUAUGGAAUAAUAUGUUAUUGGCUGGCUUCUCUGUUGAGAUGCAAUGAGUUUAUUUUCAUGAAAAUGGAUGCUGGAAUAAUCUUUCUUUUGCAAGGAUUUAUUGGUGGCUCCGUCUGAAACAAGCCAUUAAGAUCUGUUUUCUGGGUUGUUGUGAGUGUUCCGGGCUGUGGGUUGUUGUGAGUUUUCCAGGCUGCCUGGCCAUGUUUCAGAAGCAUUCUCUCCUGACGUUUCGCCCACAUCUAUGGCAGGCAUCCCCAUAGUAUGAAUAGUAAUAUUGGAUUGUUGUGUGUUUUCAGGGUUGCAUGGCCAUGUUCCAGAAGCAUUCUCUCCUGACAUUUCGCCCAUAUCUAUGGCAGGCAUCCUCAGAGGUUGAGAGGUCUGUUGGAAAGCUCCAUCUGCUUUGAAGGCACACUGUAAACAAGAUGCUCCCUCUCCUUUAAAGGCGCACCGUAAACAAGAUGUCAACAUUCCUCUAUUUCUGUCCUCACAUCAGCUGGUGGAGAUCACCAUUAACUCCCCGACGCCAUUGCGAUUCUGAGUUUUAGGAUGCCAUGGUGCAAUUACAAAGCCUGGUUUUAAAUCCUCCACAGCUGCUUCUUGAGUUAUCCACUGCGGGGGACUGGCAGCUUUUGUUUCCAUUGUGCCGGGGAAUGGCAACUUCACACCAGCCAGUAUUUCAUGGAUGAAAAUGGGGACAUUUGAGGACAAACAACUUCAAAGUGUGGGUGAGAAAGGUAAAAGUUAUGACUGAGGAUGAAUGUACAAGCAAGUGUGAAUGCCCUCCGACUAAGGGGGCAUCUACACUGUAGUAGUAAUGUACUUUGUGUCAGAGCAAUUUGCUAGGCACACACACAGCAGAAGUUGCUGACGAGAAAGCACUAGAUAAAUAAUGAUGCUGGAGUCUUCAGCUCUCUAUCAAAAGUUUACUCACAAACGGAAUUCCACAAGACAAUACACAGCUCUCACGCAGGCACACACGGGAAGGAAAAAAAGAAGGAAAAGAUAGGAAGCAGAGGGCAAUUUAUCCCAGACUCUGCUGUCUGAUGCAAUCCAAGUUUGCAGGCACUUAACCCUUUACACACUGGCAUAGAAAACAGUACACAGUGCAUGAUGCAAUCUCCAGCACACAUUGCACCACUCAAUUACUCUAUAUACAAUCAUUCCUACUUUAACACUUUGAUCCCAGUUUAACUACCAGGGCUCGUUGCUCUAGGAUCCCGGGGUUUGUAGUUUGAUGAGACAUCACCACUACCUCUCACAGGAUGCCAUAGCACUGAGCAAGGGGAAUUAAAGUGGGGCCAAACUGCACUAUUUGUACAGUCUAGAUGGACUCUACUUUUGCACUUUGAACUCAGUUUGCAAAGGGAGAAAGUGGGCCAAGGGCAGCGGAAUUGGGAGAGUUUAAACACAGCUGGAAAAGUGGAUUAAUUGGGCCAGUCCUUUGGCAAAUCGGAACAAUUGCACCAUAUUUGUGCACAUCAGCCAUUGGUUUCAAAGAGAUCCGACAGUUAAAUGACGUGUCGGAAUUUAAAAUGCAAUUGGAAACCCAUCUUUUCCAUCAGGCCCACACACUACACUGUCAACUUUCAAUUCUGAGUUUUGAUUUGCAUUCCCACUAUACAGCAAUUCUGUAGCUGUGUUUGGUAUAAGUUUAAGUGUGUGUGUGUGUGUGUAUGUUUAUCUUUGAAAUUUAGUAAUUUAUUGUAUUUUAAUGUAUUGUAUUUAUUGUGGCGCCGCUGAUUAAUAGCCAGCUGCAAUAAAUCACUACUGACUGAGAGGUCAUGAGUUCGAAGCACAAGUCGGAUAGAGUGCCCGACCAUUAAAUAGCCUAGCUUGUGGUUUAUCUAAGCAAUCCAAAAGACAAUUGCCGUGGUGGAGGCUCCUUCUUUGGAGGCUUUUAAGCAGAGGCUGGAUGGCCAUCUGUCGGGGGUGCUUUGAAUGCGAUUUCCUGCUUCUUAGCAGGGGGUUGGACUGGAUGGCCCAUGUGGUCUCUUCCAACUCUACUAUUCUAUGAUUCUAUGAUUCUAUGAAUUGCAUCUAUCAAGCAGGAAAAUUUAGGGACUGCUUAUGCGGGGAGCCGUGCGUGCGGAAGAAUGAGGAAGUACUCCAUCAAACGACUCGACGUCACAGUGGAUGAUGAAGCAGCAGCUCCCCCUGUGGCUGGAGUCAAGCAUACCCUCAGGAAGCCAGAAGCUGGAAAAUGUUAAAUAGUCUCUGUGUCUUUAUGUAUGUCGUAUGUCUAAUGGCAUUGAAUGUUUGCCAUGUAUAUGUAUAUUGUGAUUCGCCUGAGUCGCCUUCGGGAUGAGAAAGGGUGGAAUAUAAAUACUGUAAGUAAAUAAAUAAAAUAAAUUGGACGGAUAAUGGCUUUGGUUUAUGUUUAUUUAUUUUUAACUAUCUAAAGUGUUGACUGUAUUUUAAUACAUGUACCUUGUAUGUUUUAUACUUUGUUGUUAGCCGCUUUAAAUCCCCAAUGAGGGUGAAAAGUGGGAUAUAAAUAAAUAAAUAAUAAUAAUAAUAAUAUAA